rnacentral:tRNA from 1 species
GCGGAAGUGGCGGAAUUGGUAGACGCACCAGAUUUAGGUUCUGACGCCGUAAGGUGUGAGAGUUCAAGUCUCUCCUUCCGCACCA